AUUGAACGCUGGCGGCAGGCUUAACACAUGCAAGUCGAGCGGGGGAAGGUAGCUUGCUACCGGACCUAGCGGCGGACGGGUGAGUAAUGCUUAGGAAUCUGCCUAUCAGUGGGGGACAACAUCUCGAAAGGGCUGCUAAUACCGCAUACGUCCUACGGGAGAAAGCAGGGGAUCUUCGGACCUUGCGCUAAUAGAUGAGCCUAAGUCGGAUUAGCUAGUUGGUGGGGUAUAGGCCUACCAAGGCGACGAUCUGUAGCGGGUCUGAGGGGAUGAUCCGCCACACUGGGACUGAGACACGGCCCAGACUCCUACGGGAGGCAGCAGUGGGGAAUAUUGGACAAUGGGGGGAACCCUGAUCCAGCCAUGCCGCGUGUGUGAAGAAGGCCUUAUGGUUGUAAAGCACUUUAAGCGAGGAGAAGGCUACUCUAGUUAAUACCUAGGGAUAGUGGACGUUACUCGCAGAAUAAGCACCGGCUAACUCUGUGCCAGCCGCCGCAGUAA
rnacentral:rRNA from 1 species